UGGGGAAUAUUGGACAAUGGGCGCAAGCCUGAUCCAGCCAUGCCGCGUGAGUGAUGAAGGCCUUAGGGUUGUAAAGCUCUUUCGCCGACGAAGAUAAUGACGGUAGUCGGAGAAGAAGCCCCGGCUAACUUCGUGCCAGCAGCCGCGGUAAUACGAAGGGGGCUAGCGUUGUUCGGAAUCACUGGGCGUAAAGCGCACGUAGGCGGAUUGUUAAGUCAGGGGUGAAAGCCUGGAGCUCAACUCCAGAACUGCCCUUGAUACUGGCAAUCUCGAGUCCGGAAGAGGUAAGUGGAACUGCGAGUGUAGAGGUGAAAUUCGUAGAUAUUCGCAAGAACACCAGUGGCGAAGGCGGCUUACUGGUCCGGUACUGACGCUGAGGUGCGAAAGCGUGGGGAGCAAACAGAUUAGAUACCCUGGUAGUCCACGCCGUAAACGAUGGAGGCUAGCCAUUUGGCGAGCAUGCUCGUCAGUGGCGCAGCUAACGCAUUAAGCCUCCCCGCCCUGGGGGAGUACGGUCGCAAGAUUAAAAACUUAAAUGAAUUGACGGGGUCAUAGCUGUUUCCCU
rnacentral:rRNA from 1 species